GGGGUUGUAGCUCAGUGGUAAAGUGCUCGCCUGGUACAUGUGAGGCACUGAGUUUGAUCCUCAGCACCACA
rnacentral:tRNA from 1 species